rnacentral:tRNA from 3 species
GCGCCUGUAGCUCAGCUGGAUAGAGCGCUUGGCUACGGACCAAGAUGUCGGGAGUUCGAAUCUUUCCAGGCGCACCA